rnacentral:tRNA from 1 species
AAUGUGGCUUAAUGAUAGAGCACUUGCCUAGCAUGCAAGAGGCCUUGAGUUUUAUCCUUAGUAUU